rnacentral:rRNA from 1 species
UACGUAGGGGGCUAGCGUUGUCCGGAAUCAUUGGGCGUAAAGAGCGCGUAGGCGGCCCUGUAAGUCCGCUGUGAAAGUCAAGGGCUCAACCCUUGAAUGCCGGUGGAUACUGCAGGGCUAGAGUCCGGAAGAGGCGAGUGGAAUUCCUGGUGUAGCGGGUGAAAUGCGCAGAUAUCAGGAAGAACACCCGUGGCGAAGGCGGCUCUCUGGGACGGUACUGACGCUGAGACGCGAAAGCGUGGGGAGCGAACAGG